rnacentral:SRP_RNA from 1 species
UGCCAGGUCCCGCGCAAUAGGGCGGCACCGAACCCCGUCAGGUCCGGAAGGAAGCAGCGGUAAGUGCUUUACCUAUGUGCCGCGGGUUCACCUGGCAAUUU